UACAGAGGUCCCAAGCGUUUGUUCGGAUUCAUUGGGCGUAAAGGGUGCGUAGGUGGCGCCGUAAGUCAGGUGUGAAAUUUCGGAGCUUAACUCCGAAACUGCAUUUGAUACUGCGGUGCUUGAGGACUGGAGAGGAGACUGGAAUUUACGGUGUAGCAGUGAAAUGCGUAGAGAUCGUAAGGAAGACCAGUGGCGAAGGCGGGUCUCUGGACAGUUCCUGACACUGAGGCACGAAGGCCAGGGGAGCAAACGGG
rnacentral:rRNA from 1 species